rnacentral:rRNA from 7 species
UUGCCUUAGUAACGGCGAGUGAAGCGGCAACAGCUCAAAUUUGAAAUCUGGCCCUUGGGUCCGAAUUGUAAUUUGUAGAGGAUGAUUUUGGUGCGGUAUCUUCCGAGUUCCUUGGAACAGGACGCCUUAGAGGGUGAGAGCCCCGUACGGUUGAAUGCCUAGCCUCUGUAAAUCUCCUUCGACGAGUCGAGUAGUUUGGGAAUGCUGCUCUAAAUGGGAGGUAAAUUUCUUCUAAAGCUAAAUAUUGGCCAGAGACCGAUAGCGCACAAGUAGAGUGAUCGAAAGAUGAAAAGCACUUUGAAAAGAGGGUUAAAUAGCACGUGAAAUUGUUGAAAGGGAAGGAUUUGUGACCAGACUUUUUCUGGGCGGAUCAUCCGGGGUUCUCUCCGGUGCACUUCGCCCAGUAAAGGCCAGCAUCGGUUUUCGGCGUGGGAUAAAAGCAGUAGGAAUGUGGCUCUCUACGGGGAGUGUUAUAGCCUAUUGUAUAAUACCGCGCUGGGGACCGAGGUUCGCGCUUCUGCAAGGAUGCUGGCGUAAUGGUUAUCAAUCACCCGUCUUGAAACACGGACCAAGGAGUCGAACAUUUGUGCGAGUGUUUGGGUGUUAAACCCUCACGCGUAAUGAAAGUGAACGGAGGUGAGAGCCCUUACGGGUGCAUCAUCGACCGAUCCUGAAGUUUUCGGAUGGAUUUGAGUAAGAGCAUAACUGUUCGGACCCGAAAGAUGGUGAACUAUGCGUGGAUAGGGUGAAGCCAGAGGAAACUCUGGUGGAGGCUCGCAGCGGUUCUGACGUGCAAAUCGAUCGUCAAAUCUGCGCAUGGGGGCGAAAGACUAAUCG